AAGUUUUUUCCUCCUAAUGAAGCAAGAUAUUUUUUCUGCAAAUGGCAUUCAAAUGGAAAAACAAUAAGAGAAUAUUUUCAAAGCAAAAUCCAGCACAGUAGUGACAUUUAAAGAACAGACAAGCUGUGGAAUGAGAAAAACAUCAAAAACUUUCCUGCAAGUUUUUUAUACUCUCACGGUGAGUAACAACUUGGAUGGAAAAUUUCCUGCUAUAUAAUAAUUGUGAGUGCUAGUCCUGUCAUGAAAAGGCGUAUGAGUUUUGUUAAAACUCUCUCUACCAGAUAGGUGUAA